GACGAACGCUGGCGGCGUGCCUAAUACAUGCAAGUAGGACGCAGUUGCGAACGGGUGAGUAACGCGUAGGUAAAUGCCUAUUAGAGGGGGAUAACUAUUGGAAACGAUAGCUAAUACCGCAUACUAGUAGCAUGACCUGCGUUGUAUUAGCUAGAAGGUAGGGUAAUGGCCUACCUAGGCGAAGAUACAUAGCCGAGCUGAGAGGGGGAUCGGCCACACGGAGACGUAGACACGGCCCAGACUACUGCGGGAGGCAGAAGUAGGGAAGCUUCAGCAAGGGGGGGAACCGUGACCGAGCAACGCCGCGUGAGGGAAGAAGGUAUUCGGAUCGUAAAGCUCUGGUGUUAAGGAAGCGGUACAUAACAAGAAAGGGACGGCUAACUACGUGCCAGCAGACGCGGUAAUUC
rnacentral:rRNA from 1 species